AGAGUAUGAUCCUGGCUCAGAACGUACGCUGGCGGCACGCUUAACACAUGCAAGUCGAACGCAGUAGCAAUACUGAGUGGCAAACGGGUGAGUAUAAUGUGGGAAUCUGCCUUUUGGUGAGGAAUAACACGGGGAAACUUGUGCUAAUACCUCAUAAGCCUUCACAGGGAAAGUUUUAACGCCAAAAGAUGAGCCCGCACUUGAUUAGCUAGUUGGUAAGGUAAAAGCUUACCAAGGCUACGAUCAAUAGCUGAUCUGAGAGGAUGAUCAGCCACAUUGGGACUGAGACACGGCCCAAACUCCUACGGGAGGCAGCAGUAGGGAAUCUUGCACAAUGGGGGAAACCCUGAUGCAGCGAUGCCGCGUGAGUGAAGAAGGCCUUUGGGUUGUAAAGCUCUUUCGUCGGGGAAGAAAAUGACUGUACCCGAAUAAGAAGGUCCGGCUAACUUCGUGCCAGCAGCCGCGGUAAUACGAAGGGACCUAGCGUAGUUCGGAAUUACUGGGCUUAAAGAGCUCGUAGGUGGUUAGAAAAGUUGGUGGUGAAAUCCCAAGGCUUAACCUUGGAACUGCCAUCAAAACUUUUUGACUAGAGUAUGAUAG
rnacentral:rRNA from 1 species